UGCAGUCGAACGGUAACAUGACUAGCUUGCUAGUUGAUGACGAGUGGCGGACGGGUGAGUAGCGCGUAGGAAUCUACCCAGUAGCGGGGGAUAAGCCAGAGAAAUUUGGUCUAAUACCGCAUACGCCCUUCGGGGGAAAGCAGGGGAUCUUCGGACCUUGCACUAUUGGAUGAGCCUGCGUGAGAUUAGCUUGUUGGUGAGGUAAUGGCUCACCAAGGCGACGAUCUCUAGCUGGUCUGAGAGGAUGAUCAGCCACACUGGAACUGAGACACGGUCCAGACUCCUACGGGAGGCAGCAGUGGGGAAUAUUGCACAAUGGGCGCAAGCCUGAUGCAGCCAUGCCGCGUGUGUGAAGAAGGCCCUAGGGUUGUAAAGCACUUUCAGCAGUGAGGAAAGGUUAGUAGUUAAUACCUGCUAGCUGUGACGUUAACUGCAGAAGAAGCACCGGCUAACUCCGUGCCAGCAGCCGCGGUAAUACGGAGGGUGCGAGCGUUAAUCGGAAUUACUGGGCGUAAAGCGCGCGUAGGUGGAUUGGUCAGUCAGAUGUGAAAGCCCAGGGCUCAACCUUGGAACUGCACCUGAUACUGCCAAUCUAGAAUACGGUAGAGGGUAGUGGAAAUUUCCUGUGUAGCGGUGAAAUGCGUAGAUAUAGGAAGGAAUACCAGUGGCGAAGGCGACUACCUGGACCGAUAUUGACACUGA
rnacentral:rRNA from 1 species